rnacentral:rRNA from 1 species
GUACAACUCUGAGCGGUGGAUCACUCGGCUCGUGUGUCGAUGAAGAGCGCAGCCAACUGUGUGAAUUAAUGUGAACUGCAUACUGCUUUGAACAUCGACAUCUUGAAC